rnacentral:lncRNA from 1 species
UAAUACCCUACGUCCUGUGUGUUGGUUGGAUUGAAUUGCUUAUGUUGGUCUCUGCCUCACCUUAUUUCUAGUCAGAUUCGACUAGACAGGUUCUACUCUUAUUUCGAUGAGUACUUCUCCUAAUCCUUAAUUAGUUCCUAUCUUCCUAUGUAGACUAUGCCGUCCUGCACCAUAGUCUCCAUGUCAGAUAUGUCUUGGGGUUCAACCCUAUAUUUAAGACUGUCGAAAU